rnacentral:rRNA from 1 species
UGCCAGCAGCCGCGGUAAUACGAAGGGUGCUAGCGUUGUUCGGAAUCACUGGGCGUAAAGCGCACGUAGGCGGAUUUGUAAGUUAGGGGUGAAAUCCCGGGGCUCAACCUCGGAACUGCCUUUGAUACUGCAAGUCUAGAGUCCGAGAGAGGUGAGUGGAAUUCCUAGUGUAGAGGUGAAAUUCGUAGAUAUUCGGUGGAACACCAGUGGCGAAGGCGGCUAACUGGACUGAUACUGACGCUGAGGUGCGAAAGUGUGGGGAGCAAACAGGAUUAGAUA